UGAUAAAGAAAGGAAUUAAACCAAUGUGAGUGGGACUACAGCCCACCGCUUACCGCUCAGCCACUUUACCU
rnacentral:tRNA from 1 species